rnacentral:rRNA from 1 species
AGCGAACGCUGGCGGCAGGCCUAACACAUGCAAGUCGAACGGACCCUUCGGGGUUAGUGGCGGACGGGUGAGUAACACGUGGGAACGUGCCUUUAGGUUCGGAAUAGCUCCUGGAAACGGGUGGUAAUGCCGAAUGUGCCCUUCGGGGGAAAGAUUUAUCGCCUUUAGAGCGGCCCGCGUCUGAUUAGCUAGUAGGUGGUGUAACGGACCACCAAGGCGACGAUCAGUAGCUGGUCUGAGAGGAUGAUCAGCCACAUUGGGACUGAGACACGGCCCAAACUCCUACGGGAGGCAGCAGUGGGGAAUCUUGCGCAAUGGGCGAAAGCCUGACGCAGCCAUGCCGCGUGAAUGAUGAAGGUCUUAGGAUUGUAAAAUUCUUUCACCGGGGACGAUAAUGACGGUACCCGGGGAAGAAGCCCCGGCUAACUUCGUGCCAGCAGCCGCCGUAACAC